GGUGUGUGGCUUAGUGGUGGAGCAUUUGCUUGGCAUGCAUGAGGCCUUGGGUUUGGUGCCCAGCACCACCA
rnacentral:tRNA from 1 species